UCAGGGCCUGAGGGUGGGAGGCGGGCAUCAGCCAGCAGCCCUGCCUCCACGGACGCCUCCCAGCUACCCUGGGGCCACACCCGGUGCUCAUAAGCACAGGCUCAGGGCCGGCUCCCCGGUGUUGCAAGCCCAGGCCCAAGUGUCCUGGCUGUGUGACCCCUGCCAAGUGAAUGCCUCAGUUCCCCCAUCGACGGGAUCACAACAGUCUAUGUCUCUUUAUGGGCCUCCUAGGGGUGCUACGUGGUUACGGAGCGCACAGGCCCGCCAUCCAGGGCAGCACCAUCCGUGCGCCCCGCGCUAUGCGAUGUGCUCCAAGGACCUGUGUUCCGGUUUUCCAGACUGACCUGGUGACAGGGCCCUUGCGGAACAAAGCCAGGCCAUCCUCCUUUCCGGCUCCCGCCCUCUCGAAUCCCCAGGGCAAUUCACCAUCGUGCGCAUUUCACAGAGGCCAAAAGCGAGGCCCAGAAGGGUGAAAUGAAUCACCCAAAGGCACCAGCAAAGCUGGGAUUUGAACCCAAAGCCAAACCCCCUCCUGAAAACUGUCUUAAAUAACAAUUUUGAACGAGUUGUUAAAACCGAGGGCACCAGGAAAAAUAAUGCGGCCACUGGCUCCCGCCCUGGGCAAAACCACUGCCGUCCGAGUGACCAGAACUGGAAGUCCGGGCUCUAGAACUAUUCUGGCUAUAGACCUGCUUGUCUUUAACAUCUUGGGACGGAUCUGGCCCCUGCUGCCUGGAGGAAGCGAAGCAGCACUGCCAUGUCGGUGCAGGUGACGCACAGCAGACCUGCAAGGAAGGCCUGAGCAGUGAGGAUCCUCCGGAAACCCCGAGCCCCGCUCUGUGCCCAGGUCAGUGUGGCCUCACCUCCUUCGCUCACAGCCUGCACGGCUGCAUCCAAGAAGGGGGCGGGGCUGCCAUACGGGUCCAGGUCGAUGACGUCAAACCGCUCUGAUGCCCUCUGGUGCUGGUACAUCAGCAUCCUGGGAGCGAGAAGGCCCCGGUCCUCAGCCACCUGCAUUAGGGACCUGCUCUGUCCCCUACACGUGUCUUCUCAUUGGGUGUGAUGGUUUCAGCCUGCAUUUGGAGGCCAGCUGGCUAGGUUCGGACCCUGGCCUGGCCAUGUGCUAACCAACCACGUGACUUUUCUUCCUUGGGCCUCAGUGUACUCGUGUCUAACAACAGCAAUAAUAAUAGCCAAUGGUGACGUGACAUACAUAUGCCUGACAACUGUUUCAAGCCAUUUAUAGAUUAAUUCAUUUAAUCAAAUAACCUUCCAGGCAAAUCUUACGGAUUUGGAAUCAUUAUCGUUUCCUUUGUAGGAUGACAUGAUACUCUAUAUGGAACACGCAAAAGAUUCCACAAAAAAAC